GGCCUUGUAGUGAAAUUCAUGGUGAGUUGCAAGCUCAUCGAUGUGCACUGAUCGUGCGCCGGGGCUU
rnacentral:tRNA from 1 species